UCUCGGUGAUGAUUAAAAAUGAUGACGAGUCCGAUCUUUCCAUUCUUUCAAAUCGUGACGACAAAUCGAGGCAUUUGUCUGAGAGAA
rfam:Corchorus olitorius cultivar O-4 contig17904, whole genome shotgun sequence.